rnacentral:rRNA from 1 species
CCUACGGGAGGCAGCAGUGGGGAAUAUUGGACAAUGGGGGCAACCCUGAUCCAGCCAUGCCGCGUGUGUGAAGAAGGCCCUCGGGUUGUAAAGCACUUUCAGUGAGGAAGAACGCCUGGUGGUUAAUACCCAUCAGGAAAGACAUCACUCACAGAAGAAGCACCGGCUAACUCCGUGCCAGCAGCCGCGGUAAUACGGAGGGUGCGUGCGUUAAUCGGAAUUACUGGGCGUAAAGCGCGCGUAGGUGGCUUGAUAAGCCGGUUGUGAAAGCCCCGGGCUCAACCUGGGAACGGCAUCCGGAACUGUCAAGCUAGAGUGCAGGAGAGGAAGGUAGAAUUCCCGGUGUAGCGGUGAAAUGCGUAGAGAUCGGGAGGAAUACCAGUGGCGAAGGCGGCCUUCUGGACUGACACUGACACUGAGGUGCGAAAGCGUGGGUAGCAAACAGGAUUAGAUACCCGUGUAGUC